AUCGCUUCUCGGCCUUUUGGCUAAGAUCAAGUGUAAGUUUGGGGUAUGAUACUAUGAAUAUUAAAGUCCAUUAUAAUAUAAUAUUGUCUAACACUGCCUUUUAAUGUAUUUGAAUCCAGACUUAAUUUUUUUAUUUGAAAGGCAGAGUUACAAAGAGAGAGGAAGAGACA
ensembl:snRNA U2 U2 spliceosomal RNA